rnacentral:rRNA from 1 species
CGGACGGGUGAGUAACGCGUGGGCAACCUGCCUCAUACGGGGGGAUAGCAUCGGGAAACCGGUGGUAAAACCGCAUAAGCGCACGAAGACGCAUGUAUUCGUGUGAAAAGGAGAAAUCUGGUAUGAGAUGGACCCGCGUCUGAUUAGCUAGUUGGAGUGGUAAAAGCACACCAAGGCGACGAUCAGUAGCCGGCCUGAGAGGGUGGACGGCCACAUUGGGACUGAGACACGGCCCAGACUCCUACGGAAGGCAGCAG